rnacentral:lncRNA from 1 species
GUCACUCUUUGCCUCCUCAAGCUCGUCUUGACGACAAAUCAAUCGAUCAUAGAGCCUGAUUUUCUUUGGCUUUUUGAGAGAGUGGAAACGUAGGGGGAUGUGUUUUAUCGACAGAGAGACUGGAGGUGUCCCUUCCAAACUAUUCCUUUUGGACUGUGGUGUGAAAGUCUGCCUGCCAUCUAUGGAGACUUGAAGAGUUUGGUGGUAAGAAUUCUCCUUCCAAAUGCUAUUAGAUUUACUCAUCUUUUCCCAGUGAUAGUUUAAAUAUCAAGCUUUGGUAAAGUG